AAAGAUGGUCUCAAUUAUCGUG
rnacentral:siRNA from 1 species